rnacentral:rRNA from 1 species
AUUGAACGCUGGCGGCAGGCCUAACACAUGCAAGUCGAGCGAGCGGCGGACGGGUGAGUAAUGUCUGGGAAACUGCCUGAUGGAGGGGGAUAACUACUGGAAACGGUGGCUAAUACCGCAUACUAUCAGAUGUGCCCAGAUGGGAUUAGCUAGUAGGUGGGGUAAAGGCUCACCUAGGCGACGAUCCCUAGCUGGUCUGAGAGGAUGACCAGCCACACUGGGACUGAGACACGGUCCAGACUCCUACGGGAGGCAGCAGUGGGGAAUAUUGCACAAUGGGCGCAAGCCUGAUGCAGCCAUGCCGCGUGUAUGAAGAAGGCCUUCGGGUUGUAAAGUACUUUCAGCGGGGAGGCGUUACCCGCAGAAGAAGCACCGGCUAACUCCGUGCCAGCAGCCGCGGUAAUUC